GCCCGGCGCGCCUGAGGGGAGCGGCGCGAGGCACGGAGCGGCCCCUCCCGCCACGGUCCGGCCCGGCCGCCCCCAUCGCUGCCGCCGCUCCGGGAGGGAGCCGGGCCGAGCCGCGCCGCUUCCCUCCCUCCCCCGGGGCUCGCGGGGCUCGGCGCAGAGGCGUCCCUCUGUGCGUGAGGCGAGCGGAGAGGCGAGGUGCUGCCCAGGCCCGCAGGCGGUAAUGGCGCCCGGGCCGGCUCCCGUGGCGUCCCUCAUGCCCAGGCGGGGAGCGGCCCGCGCCAAUGCCAGCGGCCCAGCAGCUGCUGCCGUGGAGGGGUUCCCGCUGCAGGACCUGCCGUGCCUGGUGCUUCGGCCAGGCCUUGGGUAUCUGAUUCGCCUCUUCAAAGGGCUCGGAACGGCUCUUUGCUCCUCGUCCUCUCGUAGUUCUGAAAGACUGCGCCUCAGCACCCUCAUCGCGCCAACUGCUCGGCCCUGUUCUCUGCUGUGAUCACCAGGCUCGUCUCAGCCCCAGAGGCAAGGCACUUGAUUGUCUCCUAACACAGCCAGACACUGCUGACUUCCACCAUGCUGUUCAAACGAGUAAAAGGGUGGUGAAUCUGUGCUUUACACAAAGUUACAGGCAAAUGCUGCAAACACUUAGCUGAUGACGGAACUAGACAGUAAGAAGGCACCUGCAGCAGCGCGGGACUGGAGGUGCUGUCUGCCGAGGCCAAACCAGAAUAAGGAAUGAAAACCAGUGUUUGAGCAAGCAAGGGGUGCAUCGUGGUGCUCCUCGUAUCCUGCUCCGCAGCCACGGCAGAGCUCUCCUCUCCCAGCAGCAGGAACCGUGUGAGACCGGGAGUUAAAAUCAAGGAUGGGCUUGGCUGGAGGGAGAGCAGAGGAGAAGCAGCCCUAGAGAACAAGGUGCAGUGCAGCCUUCGGAAGGACAGAGUGCGCAGAGCUGGUGGAUGGCCGCUUCUCCCCUUCCCAUGAGCAUCUCUUUGUGUGAGUAGUUCAACGUACAGCAGGAUUCAGCAGCACAGAGGCAGCCUUUGCUCUUUGAUCCCUACUGCAUGAUGGAUGCUAACUGGUUUGGGCAAUUCCUUGGGAAAUUCCUUCCCUUCUUGUUGUGCUGCCUCAGCCACCCCAGGGGCCUCAUUCGUGUUUGUACUGUGGGGCCUUCAAGCCUUUGUAUGUUUUGCGUUGCUCUGAACUGGCCUCUUUGGCUCAGAGCCACUGUUUCUGUGCUGUCUCUGGCCCAUGUUCAGUCAUGCCUGUUUAUAGACACUUGGGUGGGUCUCUCUCGCACUACGCAGAACUUACUGCACCCUCUUUGCAUGCGCUAACCCUCGAGGAGAGGUGAAAGCCUCCUCUUUUACUUGCCUGAUCCUAUACUAAAUGUACCCCAGGCCUCGGAAAUUAGAACGGCAGUCUCAGAGUGGGCUCCAGGAGGGGUGAGGGGCAGCUGGGAAUCACCAAGAAAGGGGGAAACCCCCCCCCAUGGCUGAUACUGCAAGGAGCUAGGGAGCACAGCCAGCAAGCGGAGGAACCUCACAGAAGGCAAAUUAGGGCAAAGGGAAUGGAGCCCAGAACAGGUGAGGCAGAGGCACCCAUGCCUGGCAUCUUCUAUCUUAAAUGUCAGUAGCCCCAGGAAGCAGAGUUGAUGAACUAGAUCUUGGAAAACUCACUCCCAGUCAGGCCCGUCCCUGCUCCACCUCUUCUGGACCCGUCCACUUCAUUUACCUGCACCUUCACAGGCCGUGGAGGUCUGGGCAGUCACUUCUUCAGGGGACACGUGAGGGCUCUACUGAGCACCCAGACCUCCUGGGCAGGCCUUGUUCUCCAAGAACACUAACUGGGGGUAGAAGCAGCAGAGCAGGUAUUUUUAGUUUUUCUGACAGAAAAUACAUUAUGAGGGAAAAAAAUGAAAAUACAAUUUAAUAGUUCAGUGGGAUUUUCUUGAACGUAUAGUUACUCAUCGCUAUUUAUAGCGCUAUCAUUUGAAUAUCCCUAAAGAUGCAGUCAUCAGCCGCCUUUUUCUUUACUGCUUUGAAGAACAAACCCGUGCUUGUUUUAACAAGUCACAUCACGGGAGAUGUUAUUCUACACCCUCCACCCGCACAACUCUGGGAUUUCUUUUUAUUUGAGAGCUUGUUAAACAUAGCAGCAGUCAACUGAAGAAACCGAUGUUCCAAGGCACAAAGGAUUCACACCUAUAAAUCAUGAACUUCAGUGGUGGGAAAGGGCCAUUGUUGCUUUGAAACGGAACAGUCAGCAGUGCUCUUCAUAGCUACAAGAGGUUGGCUUUAGUUUUUAGUGCAGUGACAGCGGGUGACUAAUCACAUCGUAUUUACUUAGGUUCACGUGUUCUUUGUCCACCUUUCCCACAUAGAUGGGCCUGGGGGUAGGAUGGAAAAAUACAAAGCAUUUGACAAUGGCUGAAGUGACCAACUUGCAGCAACAUUCCCUACUGCAGGACAUGAGGGAUCCGAUUUCACCUGGUCUCAUGCAUGAGAACUCUGUCGCUGUCACAGCAGUUAACCCAUGGCAGCGUUUGGUCACCUUCCCUGAUGGCUCCAAGCCAUUCCAGGGGCAGCCAGCGCCAGCAAAGAUCUGCUGCUGCCUCCCCACCCUCACAGCAGCUCGCUGUGACAGGCAGGACAGCCAUUUCCCUUAGCAUCUGAUGCAUUUUCUUCAGCCAGCUGCUCCCAGCUGCGAAGCAGCCCGGGCCGAGGCCAGUCCUAGCGCUGAUGUUGACAGUCAGAGGCGGCAGAUUCUGCACAAGAUUCCCACCGUGGUUUCCUGUAGUGGCAGCAUCCCCCCAGUGCUGGGACAGAGCUUCUCAUUUUAAUGUUUGUGCACGUUUCUUUGCAGUUUUUCAGUGUGCUUAAGAGUCUCCUACUUAGCAAAUUAGCAGUUCAGUAUGAAACUUCUGGGCUAGCUAGCAGAUGGCUAGCUAUCUGUGAAGGCUUGUUAUUCCAAGUCAGAGGUACUUGGAAAUAUUUAUGCCAGUCAGGGAGACAGCUUAAUAUUGAGUAAUUAGCCACUCACAUCAUGGGUCAGUCUUACUGCCUGCAAAUAACAGCUUCCUUUCUCUUCCCAUUUCUACAAUUUUGCCCUACUUAACUCUACAACAGAAUUUAUACAUAAAAAAAGUUCUGAAUUUUUACUCUUUUUUUUUCCUUUGUAAAAUAUUUUAGCAGCAUCAGCUGGGCAGGGAUGUUGAAGCAAUUUCCUAAGAAAGAACUGCUUGCUCCAAGGGUGCAAUUUUUUCCCUAAAUAUAGUUUUUCCAACUGUGUAAAGGUGUAACCAAAAUAAAAUUUUCUCCUUUCACUCCCUCA